rnacentral:rRNA from 1 species
GAUGAACGCUGGCGGCGUGCCUAAUACAUGCAAGUCAAGCGAACAGACGAGGAGCUUGCUCCUCUGACGUUAGCGGCGGACGGGUGAGUAACACGUGGAUAACCUACCUAUAAGACUGGGAUAACUUCGGGAAACCGGAGCUAAUACCGGAUAAUAUAUUGAACCGCAUGGUUCAAUAGUGAAAGACGGUUUUGCUGUCACUUAUAGAUGGAUCCGCGCCGCAUUAGCUAGUUGGUAAGGUAACGGCUUACCAAGGCGACGAUGCGUAGCCGACCUGAGAGGGUGAUCGGCAACACUGGAACUGAGACACGGUCCAGACUCCUACGGGAGGCAGCAGUAGGGAAUCUUCCGCAAUGGGCGAAAGCCUGACGGAGCAACGCCGCGUGAGUGAUGAAGGUCUUCGGAUCGUAAAACUCUGUUAUUAGGGAAGAACAAAUGUGUAAGUAACUAUGCACGUCUUGACGGUACCUAAUCAGAAAGCCACGGCUAACUACGUG